UGUGUGUGCGGGAUGGUUGGAUGGCAGAAAUCAGAAAUCACGGCUUAAUCAAAUUUAAAUUGAUUGAUUUGGCGGCGGCCGUAAAGAUUACUGCACGCGGCUAUAAAUCGAUUGAUUCGUAUCGUAUCGCUAUCAGCAGCUCAUUUAUAGAGCGUUAUACAAUAAAACAGUGCCAUAAAAUUAUGACCGGGAUUAGUUGGCAAAGAGGAAGUGACUCUAAGGGAAUCCAGAGUCUAGCGAAAUUCCGGCACUCGAAAGGGUUCUGCACGUGCGGCCAUUGAAAGUGAAAGGUUCUAGAAAGCUAAUGACCUUAGUUGCAAAGGUCUCAGCCGAAUAUAUUUUCAUAUAGAUAGCAUUUCAUUCAUUUCACUCGACUGAGAGAAAGAAAGUACUGUGCGCACAAGACAACCUAGACCUUGAGCCGGCUAAAAACAUCCGAUUGACAUCUAACAGGUCGCCAAGACUCGUCAUCGAAAUUCUUCUAUGUAUAUGUACAUAUAUACAUUUCUGCUAUUGCAAUUUCAAUUUCAAGAACACAACUGCAUUGCAUUUUCGAAUGGCUGGCUCUUGCAACCGAAGCUAUUUGCAACCUGAAGCAUUCUGCAAGAGAAGAUGUAUUUCUCUUUGCAUCAAGUAUACGCAGCGUUGCUCUGCCCGGGCAAAUAUUGCGCAUACGCCGCGUGUGUUUUUUGCACAUCUUGGCCAACUGCUUCCCACAGCAGCGCAGCGAGAAAUAAAAGCACACAAAAAACCCAACAAAUCACCGCGUAAUACAGCGAACUGAACUAAAAAUGGCCAAGACCGAGACCUUCGUCCGCGAUUAGAAUGCAAUUAGUGGCAGCAAGCAAACGGCAAACACAACAAAAAAACAAAAAAAAAACGAAAAAAAAAUAACAAAACUGUAAUAGAAAAAACUCCUCGAAAAAAAAGUGUUCUAACAAAACAUUGCAUUGAGCUUCAUUUCAUUCUGCUCGAUUUCAAUUCAAUUUUUUACUCUGCCCGCCGUUACAGUUUCGUUUUCAGCUAGUUGUCGUUUUUUAUUUAUUUAUUUUUCAUUUGCUCCGGCAUUAUUUUUUUUUUAUCUGUCAUAAUAACUUCCGCUUCAGGCUCUCUUUACGAGCGUAAGAAUAAUUAGAGGGGGCUAUACAGAACCGAGUUCUUUACUUAACCCACAUUGUUUUGCCCAUGAGGUUUAUUUUCGGCAAGAAUUUUGGCAUGAAGAGAUUAUGGGAAGAGAAUAAUGCCUUGUCACCUGUCUGCUUUUAUUUUUAUUUAUUUUUGUGGCCAAAUAAAUUGGGAAUCAAAGGGAAUAUGCAUUCAAGCAGCACAUUCAAAUGAUAUUCGAAAAGAUUUCGAUGGUGUGAAACCUUCGAGAAAUUUAUAUAUCCGUAUCUUUUUUUCUUACGGCUGUCAUCUUAUCAUCUUCGAAAUAACUCUAAUAAAUGCUCCAUAAAAAAUAAAUGUAAGAACUUAAGCGUAAAAAGAUUAUUAGAAAAUUAAUGCCCAGUCACCUGUCCGUUUGUAUUGUUUUGUAUAUUUUUUUGUGGACAAAUGAAUGAAAAAUCAGAAAUCCGCCUCUGCUUUCGGCCAUUAAGUGUUUGCCCAGUCGGCGGCUUAAACUCAAUUAUUUGGCUUUUGAUAUUUUUCGACGCUUUUGUCCGUGUUUUUCUGCGUCGCAAAACAUGGGUCUUUCCCAAGCGCCUUCAUUUCAAAAAUCAAGAGAAGAAACAAAAAUUGGGGGGCAUAAUGGGACAUAAUGAACGUGUUAUAUAAUCGCAGAGCACAUCAAAGUUCAAUGUUUGCCAUUGAGACGCUUCUAGCACUAUCAUAUCACUCGGUGAUAUUAUGAAAUGCGAAUGGGAAUGGGAAUACGAAUACCAAAUCUUAUCUAGCAGCGGCCACGAGUCUGGAUGCUAUAUACCCGUAUUCGGAUUCCGAAUCGGAUUCGGGCUCAUCAGCGACGUGGCUGGUCAUACGGUGGCUCUUAUCACGGGGAGCUGGUAAUUAUUUGGCUAUAAAUAACAAUAAAAACCUGAUCGUAAAACUCACAGCGCACCUUAUCACGAUAAUGAUCGUUGGCCGCUUGGCUACCGUCUUUCAUUUCGGUAUCUCUCGCAGUUUUAUAAUUUCCCUCGAUUUCAAUGGGGGGGCUGUGUGGAAAAGCCAAAAGCAAAAACCCAAAAUUCCAAAGAGACUAAAUCAAAAUCAACACCAGAUCGCGGAGCCUGUUAAUGGAAAGUUUUGAUUGCGACUUGGAAGUUUUCCCAGCGCCUUGAAACUCCGAUUCUAGAGGUUACAAGCCGACUCAUGUUUAUUUCAUUCACAAAAGAAACUCGUCAGCGGCAACAAAAGAUGCCUACAAACAUAUACGCUCUUAUUUUCUGUCGCCGAUCAUGGCUGCUCGAGGCUUAUGCAAUGUUGCCUAUGGAUUUUAUCACUUGCUGCGGCCCCAAAGUGUUGGCCAUUCCAAUUGACCAUGUUGGCAAAAAAAAAAGAUUCUAAGGAUGAUUUUACCAAAUUCACACAACUCUGUAGGAUGUGACAUUAACUGAGAAUUAAACAAACUGAAAAUAAAACGUAUCUCGCAGAUUGCUAGCCUGGCGUAUUAAAUUAUAUAGUUUACCCAGCAACCUUGCUUAACAUUACAAUUAAAUAAGAAAAAAAAUAUAGGGCAGCCAUAAAUUGUGCAAUAAAUAAAAGCGGGGAUUAGUGCGAGUUGUAAAAGAGGCGGAAUAAGUGGCGCAUUUUAUCAGAUAUUAUAUUCGCCUUAUUUAAUCAUGCUAUAACGAAUUCCGGGAAAAAUAAACGAUUACGUGCAAACAUGAAUUUGAGUAGAAUACAAAGCCGCAUUUUAGCCCACUUUUUUUUGUCUUUAACCAGUUUCGCUAACUUCUUUAUCAGGCUGCUGUGUCUGGGGCUCUUCCCCGAAAAAUGCAAAUCGAGCGAAUUGGCUGACUAAUUACCCCUUGAUAUCUAGAUUUGAAUUCAAGACGAUGAUGAUGAUGAUGGGUGCGCCUGUUUGCCGUGUUGCCAACUUUAAUGAAGUGAUAACACAUUGGACGGGCCAAGAAGACGCUCCAAUUUUGCUUUCGGAUGGAGGAUGCUAAUUUGCCGUUUACAUAAACUUGAUUUGCCCAGCGUAUUAACGAGACGGGAGUCAAUAUUUGCCAGGCCAUUUGGCACUGGUCGUGCCAACGAGGAUGCGACCAACGGGGCGGAUGAGUAAUAAAGUCAAGCUGCCGUCUUCAACGCUGUCAUUCAAGACGAAGUUGUUGUGCAAACGAUCGCACAACGAUAUCAACAGCAGAUAUAGCUGCCAUAAAGCAGCCGCAAAAAAAAAAAGAACUCAGAUAUUAUUAUCAGCAUUGUGUUUCGGUUUUUGUUUUACAUCUGCAGCGCCAACAGUGCCGAAAAAACUGUGCAUAAACAAAUACAGAAUGAACUAUAGACAAAGAGAGUUGUUCGCCCAACAACAAUGGAAAAGUUGUCGGAUUGUCUGAUCUAUAUCGCUUACUAUAUAUAAAGCCAUAGGCUUCAAGUUUCCCUGGUCGAGUUCAUAAUUUAAGUUGCUGCCAAUUUUAUCGCUUACUUGGCUAUAUUUCUGAUUGAUUAAUGGCCGACUAUCUGAAAAACUCGUUCGUCAUUAAGAAAAUAAUUCGGGUAUUUGUUUUCAUCUAUUUUAAAUGAUGAUUACUUCGGUGGUGCUCAAUUUAUGGCCAUGUUUUGGGAGUACGAGUAUAAGACUUAAUUUAUGGCCAAGUUCCUGAUCUACAAAUUGAUAAUUUAAGCGACAGGAAUUUAUGAAAUGUCAUUUUAAAGAUUUUUCAAUAACAAUCAAUUUUGUUGC
rnacentral:sRNA from 1 species